rnacentral:tRNA from 1 species
GGCCGUAUGGUCUAGUAGUAUGAUUCUCGCUUUGGGUGCGAGAGGUCCUGGGUUCAAUUCCCAGUGCGGCCC